GUGAAUCAUCAAAUUUUUGAACGCAAAUUGCACUCUCUGGUAUUCCGGAGAGCAUGCCUGUUUGAGGGUCAGUUUUACUAAAAAUCGGUGUGGUUGCUGUCUUUCGUGGUGGCGUACAGGAUUUGGGUCGUCUUGCCUUCGGUUAAGUGCCUUAUAAUUUUGCAUGAUUUUUUUCGAUCGCAUUUAAAUGA
rnacentral:misc_RNA from 1 species